UGACAGUUGGCAUAGUCAAAAGGAUGUUUUAAGUCACUGGACACCAGUCGCUCUGACGCUGCUGGAGCUGAAAUCUCCUGGGACAUCUGACACACAGCUGGCAAAAGGACAUGAUUGGAAGCCUUAGUUAUAUUACAAAGGCUUUGGCUGGAAUGUCAUAUUUGAGAGAGGUGUGCAUAGACUCAGAUAUGAACAGACAGCUUUAAGGAACUAAGCCUGACUUUAUGGAGCCAAUAAAACCCCUUGGAAAAUAUCAGCGUGGUGCAUUGCUCACAAAGGUCCCAGCAGCCUCACCAGGUGAAUAAAGAAGGUCACUCCCUGGCAGGUGCAGGAAGCUCAGGAUGUUCUGGGGACCUCGAGAAGAGAGGAAUUCACCCAAGUCUUGUUCUCCAGUGCCAGGCUACAACUCUCCAAACUAAUGUUUUUGAAUGUUCUCCCACCUUUCUGACUUGGAAUCAUUUGAGAACUAAAACUUCCCUCUUCCUUGAAGCCCUGCAAACUUAAUAUAAAAUGGCUUGGUGUAAACUUCAGAGAAAUUGCCACGAUGGCUCAUGUCUAGACAAUCUUCAUACUUACUGCACUGUGGGCCACUCAACAGAUUGCUAGAGACAUGUGAGCUACAAACCAGGAGAAUCUGUGGCAUUGCCACGGCCUGCCUUCACUCUGUCUGAAGAUGCUCGGAGCCUGACAUCUAGAAGUCUUGUCAGCUGGCUGGCUCAGAACUCAGAGACAGGCCUAGCUUGGAGAAACGCCACCUUCUGAAACGAGUUCAACUAAGCUGACCUAUUAUCAAGACUCAGGGGAGUGGUUCGGUGAGACGAAACAAUCUACCAGCUCAACUUUUAAUGUGU